GAUGAACGCUGGCGGCGUGCCUAAUACAUGCAAGUCGAGCGAACGGACGAGAAGCUUGCUUUUCUGAUGUUAGCGGCGGACGGGUGAGUAACACGUGGAUAACCUACCUAUAAGACUGGGAUAACUUCGGGAAACCGGAGCUAAUACCGGAUAAUAUUUUGAACCGCAUGGUUCAAAAGUGAAAGACGGUCUUGCUGUCACUUAUAGAUGGAUCCGCGCUGCAUUAGCUAGUUGGUAAGGUAACGGCUUACCAAGGCAACGAUGCAUAGCCGACCUGAGAGGGUGAUCGGCCACACUGGAACUGAGACACGGUCCAGACUCCUACGGGAGGCAGCAGUAGGGAAUCUUCCGCAAUGGGCGAAAGCCUGACGGAGCAACGCCGCGUGAGUGAUGAAGGUCUUCGGAUCGUAAAACUCUGUUAUUAGGGAAGAACAUAUGUGUAAGUAACUGUGCACAUCUUGACGGUACCUAAUCAGAAAGCCACGGCUAACUACGUGCCAGCAGCCGCGGUAAUACGUAGGUGGCAAGCGUUAUCCGGAAUUAUUGGGCGUAAAGCGCGCGUAGCGGUUUUUUAGUCUGAUGUGAAAGCCCACGGCUCAUCCGUGGAGGGUCAUUGGAAACUGGAAAACUUGAGUGCAGAAGAGGAAAGUGGAAUUCCAUGUGUAGCGGUGAAAUGCGCAGAGAUAUGGAGGAACACCAGUGGCGAAGGCGACUUUCUGGUCUGUAACUGACGCUGAUGUGCGAAAGCGUGGGGAUCAAACAGGAUUAGAUACCCUGGUAGUCCACGCCGUAAACGAUGAGUGCUAAGUGUUAGGGGGUUUCCGCCCCUUAGUGCUGCAGCUAACGCAUUAAGCACUCCGCCUGGGGAGUACGACCGCAAGGUUGAGACUCAAAGGAAUUGACGGGGACCCGCACAAGCGGUGGAGCAUGUGGUUUAAUUCGAAGCAACGCGAAGAACCUUACCAAAUCUUGACAUCCUUUGACAACUCUAGAGAUAGAGCCUUCCCCUUCGGGGGACAAAGUGACAGGUGGUGCAUGGUUGUCGUCAGCUCGUGUCGUGAGAUGUUGGGUUAAGUCCCGCAACGAGCGCAACCCUUAAGCUUAGUUGCCAUCAUUAAGUUGGGCACUCUAAGUUGACUGCCGGUGACAAACCGGAGGAAGGUGGGGAUGACGUCAAAUCAUCAUGCCCCUUAUGAUUUGGGCUACACACGUGCUACAAUGGACAAUACAAAGGGCAGCGAAACCGCGAGGUCAAGCAAAUCCCAUAAAGUUGUUCUCAGUUCGGAUUGUAGUCUGCAACUCGACUACAUGAAGCUGGAAUCGCUAGUAAUCGUAGAUCAGCAUGCUACGGUGAAUACGUUCCCGGGUCU
rnacentral:rRNA from 1 species